CCUACGGGCGGCAGCAGUCGAGAAUCAUUCACAAUGGGGGAAACCCUGAUGGUGCGACGCCGCGUGGGGGAAUGAAGGUCUUCGGAUUGUAAACCCCUGUCAUGUGGGAGCAAAUUAAAAAGAUAGUACCACAAGAGGAAGAGACGGCUAACUCUGUGCCAGCAGCCGCGGUAAUACAGAGGUCUCAAGCGUUGUUCGGAAUCACUGGGCGUAAAGGGUGCGUAGGCUGUUUCGUAAGUCGUGUGUGAAAGGCGCGGGCUCAACCCGCGGACGGCACAUGAUACUGCGAGACUAGAGUAAUGGAGGGGGAACCGGAAUUCUCGGUGUAGCAGUGAAAUGCGUAGAUAUCGAGAGGAACACUCGUGGCGAAGGCGGGUUCCUGGACAUUAACUGACGCUGAGGCACGAAGGCCGGGGGAGCGAAAGGGAUUAGAUACCCUUGUAGUC
rnacentral:rRNA from 1 species